rnacentral:rRNA from 1 species
UACGUACCGCACGAACGUUAUUCGGAAUCACUGGGCUUAAAGGGUACGUAGGCGGCCUGGCAGGUGGGGUGUGAAAUCCCUCGGCUCAACCGAGGAACUGCGCUCCAAACCGCCAGGCUUGAGGAAGGCAGAGGUGAGCGGAACUGAUGGUGGAGCGGUGAAAUGCGUUGAUAUCAUCAGGAACACCAGUGGCGAAGGCGGCUCACUGGGCCUUUUCUGACGCUGAUGUACGAAAGCUAGGGGAGCGAACGGG